GUCCACGCCCUAAACGAUGAUGACUAGUUGUUGGAGGAGUUAAAUCCUUUAGUAACGCAGCUAACGCGAGAAGUCAUCCGCCUGGGGAGUACGGUCGCAAAGAUUAAAAACUCAAAGGAAUUGACGGGGGCCCGCACAAGCGGUGGAUGAUGUGGUUUAAUUCGACGCAACGCGAAAAACCUUACCUACCCUUGACAUGUACGGAACCUCAUAGAGAUGUGAGGGUGCCCGAAAGGGAGCCGUAACACAGGUGCUGCAUGGCUGUCGU
rnacentral:rRNA from 1 species